rnacentral:rRNA from 1 species
CACGGGGGGAGCAAGCGUUGUUCGGAAUUACUGGGCGUAAAGGGCGUCUAGGCGGAUAGGUAAGUGGGAUGUGAAAUCCCUCGGCUCACCCGAGGACCUGCACUCCAAACUGCCUGUCUUGAGUAUGGGAGAGGAUGAGGGAAUUCCUGGUGUAGCGGUGAAAUGCGUAGAUAUCAGGAGGAACACCGGUGGCGAAGGCGCUCAUCUGGCCCAAUACUGACGCUGAAGCGCGAAAGCUAGGGGAGCAAACGGG